ACUAUAUAUAUUAUUAAUUACUAAACUCAAUGUCUACGGCCAUACGUAGGCGAAAACACCAGUUCCCGUCCGAUCACUGCAGUUAAGCGUCUGAGGGCCUCGUUGGUACUAUGGUUGGAGACAACAUGGGAAUCCGGGGUGCUGUAGGCUCAUCUUUUUUU